rnacentral:rRNA from 1 species
AUGGCGUCUAGCGACGAGAAGCCUGUUCCGACGCCGGCCUCAACCGGAGGCGACGGCGGGCCGCCGGGGAAGCCGACGACCACGUCGACGAUGCUGCUGGACAAGGGCGCGGCGGCGCUGCAGUCGCUGCGCCCCGUGAAGCAGAUCAAGCAGCACGUUUGCACGUUCGCCCUGUACGCGCACGACCCGCACCGGCAGGUGGAGACCCACCACUACGUCUCCCGCCUCAACCAGGACGUCCUCCAGUGCCCCGUCUACGACUCCGACGACAAGCACGCCCGCCUCAUCGGCGUGGAGUACAUCGUGUCGAGGAAGAUCUUCGAGUCGCUGCCGGCGGAGGAGCAGAAGCUGUGGCACUCGCACGCGCACGAGAUCAAGACGGGGCUGUGGGCGAACCCGUGGGUGCCCAGCAUGCUGGGGAAGGCGGAGCUGGACCACAUGGCCGGCACGUUCGGCAAGUUCUGGUGCACCUGGCAGGUGGACCGCGGCGACCGCCUGCCGCUCGGCGCGCCCGCGCUCAUGGUGUCGCCGCAGGGGGAGCGCGACGGCGCCGUGCGCCCGGACCUGGUGCGGAAGCGCGACCAGAAGUACAGCUUCUCCACGGAGGAGCUCAAGGCCGCCAGGGCCGACGUGGAGGUGCCGGCGGAGCCGCGCCCGGGCCAGGCCGACUACUGGGUCCGCCACCACAAGGGCUUCGCCGUCGACGUCGUGCCGCACGAGAUGAAGCGCCACGCUCCGUUUCCGUGA